AGAACAAAUUGGAACGGAACAGUUUCCAAACAGUGAAGGAGGUUUUUCCAAACUCAUCCCUAACUGAACGUGAGGAUGAAUUGGCAUUAGGCGAACACAGUCAGUUAUUCAGUCCACCAUCAGACAGUGCGUUAAAUUUAAAUUCUGUUAGUGCUGCACUAAAAGAAUUGUUCGUAAUCAGUCCAUGCAGCGAUGGAACUGAACAAUUGUGGGACCGUAUUUGGGCUGAAAAUGGGUGUGGUACGGAAACCCAGAAAUGGCACGAGUUCAACCUAAAACAUGGAUUAGAAUUUUAGCGGGGGAUCAAGUCAAAUAUGGAAGUGUUACAGGAUGGAAGAGUCAGCCUGUAGUUGAAAAAACACAGAGUGCAUUACCGUUAAGGUGUGAGCAAUCCUUUAUAGUUCUGUCACAGCUAGAAGCCUCAAAUAAUUCUGCUUCUCUUGCUAAAGAACAACUUGUCCUUUACGUUCACAGUGUUGGUGAAACUGGGUACUUAAAUGGCCCUAAGAUUUUGCUGCCGUUGCAGAGAUGAACAUCAUACAUGGACUCUUUAGGAAAGGAUUUUCAGCAUACUGGGAACACAACUAUCAACAAUGCAACAUUCUACGCGUGCUAUUUUAUCAUUCAAGAGCCUUAUACAAUGAUUUUCAUCUGCAAUUUGUAUGGCCUUUCCCAAGCUUCUGCCAGAAGUUGAAUCUAUAAGUCAUGUAAGUCACAUGAGCAACAAUUGAGAUGCUUAAUGGUGUUGUUUUUCUUUUCUCAGCAUAGGUUAAUAGUAACGUGGAUGGAGAGAAUAACGCGUGGCUGGAGGAACAAUUGAAAAAUGGAUAAGAUAAUACAACAAAAGGAUGAUCAAAUUAUGAAGCUGCAGGCCCAAUUAUUGGAACAACACAAAAUAUUAGAUAACAGCAAAGCUAAGGAUG